rnacentral:lncRNA from 1 species
UGAGUAUACUGAGAAAAUAAGGUAGUAUCUUGUGAUGAGUCUAAAUUGUUGUACAUAGCAGGAAUACCAACUCUCUUUGACCUAAGCACUUCUUUUUGAUGUUCUGUCAAUAUCCUUGCUUUUGUUUCUGGGGGAAUGAACACAAAAUCAACAGAUUUCUCCUCUUCCAGAAGUACGUCACUUUUAGGCUUUGAAGCUGAAAACUCCAAUUUCAACUUUGCAGAUGUGACUUGCACGUUAUCAGACUUGUCUUUAACUUCAUUUUUUAGUUCACCUGUCUGGGCCAAUAUAGAGUCUCGUUUCUGACCCAAGUUUACUUCCAUCCCACUCAGCUUUGCAUCCCAUUGGGAGUUUUCUGCCUCAUCAGAGAAUGGGCCGCUUUGUUCGUCAGCUAUCUCAAUGCUUUCAAAACCAGGCAGCAAGAGGGGCAUUUUCUGUUUGGCUUGGCUUAACACAGGUUUUAAUUCUUCAGGGUAGGUCAACGAUGCAGCCUUAGCAAAUGUUGUGUUCCAGAAGUUGGCGCACUGCUUGCGCAUCUGUUUGCUCUUAUGCUGAAAUAUUACACAGAGCAAUGGAGAAAGCUGCUCCAGGAGCUCACUGUCAUAGCAGCCCA